rnacentral:rRNA from 1 species
GACGAACGCUGGCGGCGUGCUUAACACAUGCAAGUCGAACGGAAAGGCCCUGCUUUUGUGGGGUGCUCGAGUGGCGAACGGGUGAGUAACACGUUAGUACCCUGCCCUUGACUUUGGGAUAACUUCAGGAAACUGGGGCUAAUACCGGAUAGGAGCUCCUGCUGCAUGGUGGGGGUUGGAAAGUUUCGGUGGUUGGGGAUGGACUCGCGGCUUAUCAGCUUGUUGGUGGGGUAGUGGCUUACCAAGGCUUUGACGCGUAGCCGGCCUGAGAGGGUAACAGGCCAAACUGGGACUGAGAUGCGGCCCAGCCCCCUCCGGGAGGCAGCGGAGGGGAAGAUUGCACAAUAGGCGGGAGCCUGAUGCAGCAACGCCGCGUCGGGGAUGACGGCCAGCGGGUUGUAAUCCGCUUUCGCCUGUGACGAAGCGUGAGUGACGGUAAUAGGUAAAGAAGCACCGGCUAACUACGUG